GGCUCAGAUUGAACGCUGGCGGCAUGCCUUACACAUGCAAGUCGAACGGCAGCGGACCUUCGGGUGCCGGCGAGUGGCGAACGGGUGAGUAGUAUAUCGGAACGUACCUUCAGUGGGGGAUAACGUAGCGAAAGUUACGCUAAUACCGCAUAUUCUGUGAGCAGGAAAGCAGGGGAUCGCAAGACCUUGCGCUGAUUGAGCGGCCGAUAUCAGAUUAGCUAGUUGGUGAGGUAAAGGCUCACCAAGGCGACGAUCUGUAGCGGGUCUGAGAGGAUGAUCCGCCACACUGGAACUGAGACACGGUCCAGACUCCUACGGGAGGCAGCAGUGGGGAAUUUUGGACAAUGGGCGCAAGCCUGAUCCAGCCAUGCCGCGUGAGUGAAGAAGGCCUUCGGGUUGUAAAGCUCUUUCGGCCGGGAAGAAAUCGCACAGGUUAAUACCCUGUGUGGAUGACGGUACCGGAAUAAGAAGCACCGGCUAACUACGUG
rnacentral:rRNA from 1 species